rnacentral:rRNA from 1 species
GUAGGGUGCGAGCGUUAAUCGGAAUUACUGGGCGUAAAGCGUGCGCAGGCGGUUAUAUAAGACAGAUGUGAAAUCCCCGGGCUCAACCUGGGAACUGCAUUUGUGACUGUAUAGCUAGAGUACGGCAGAGGGGGAUGGAAUUCCGCGUGUAGCAGUGAAAUGCGUAGAUAUGCGGAGGAACACCGAUGGCGAAGGCAAUCCCCUGGGCCUGUACUGACGCUCAUGCACGAAAGCGUGGGGAGCAAACAGGAUUAGAUACCCUGGUAGUCCACGCCCUAAACGAUGUCAACUGGUUGUUGGGUCUUCACUGACUCAGUAACGAAGCUAACGCGUGAAGUUGACCGCCUGGGGAGUACGGCCGCAAGGUUG